AUGUAUGUAACUCUAGAGAAAGACUUUUCCCCGGGUCCGCCACUGCUGCCCCUCCGCGGGUCUCCGCUGAUCCGACCCCGUGCGAGGCCGCCACCGUCGGGCUCUGGGGCGUUGGGGGAAGGCUGCGGUCACAGCCCACUCGGUUGCCCUCCAGGGCCGCCGCACCUCGCUGGCAGACUCGCGCGGGCCCCGACCAAUCGCACUGACCCACCAAGCCUAGCGAGAGCUCAGGCCCAGUACGUGGCAGGUGGGGAACGAAGAGGGGCGGGAAUAAGAAGAAAAUCUGUUCUUUCGCUCCGCCUCGGAGCGAUCGGACCGACCCAGGACGCAUGCGCAACGUCGAUAGGGCGGGGACUAAACACGCCGGGGUCUGCAGGGGUCUGAGUCUCUGCUUUCUCACUGGAUGACUGGAUAAGUGUAGGAAGUGCACGCAGAACAGAUGCACGCAUGCGCGGGGCGUGACCAGGCACUUCCGGUUUUCCUGAACAGUAGUAUUUCCCGUUUCUCGCCCGUGGGCGGGACAUAAUUUAGUCUUCUGAACUCUGAGAUCCAAGAGUAGGCGUUUGUCUAAGUUUGUGUCUUUUUGUUGUUUUGUAGCCAUUGUAGUUCUCCUAGUCCUAUCUCGAAAAAACUAACCUUUUCCCCGCCUUCCUUCUACAAACUCAUUCAUUCAUUAUUGGGCGCCUACGCUUUGUCAGGCACUGUGCGGGGAAUGGGAAUGAAUCAGUUUGUGAACAAGGAGUUCCCAACAGCGUUUACGAGACAGGACAGAUAUAAUGGGUGUGUAAAAGGUGAAGGCUAGGGAAUUAAAACGGAUUAAGGAUCCCAGAGACAUUUUGGAAAUAAGAUAUUUGAGCGUUACAUACUCUUUUCGUUUAUCUAAAGCAUUUGUCUUGAAUAUGCGUGUUUAUAUAAGAAGUAUGCUGGCUUUAGACUGAAGCCUGAAAUUUGGGAGGAGAGGGGAAUAGGUGAUGGAAUCAGCAUGGAGAGGGGAGUGCUGUUUUAAAAGUUGCUGGAAACUUUUGCUAAGCUAAAGAGCAAAAAUCAAUUUGAACUUACUUGGUCCUCGGUUGUUCCUCAGAUAGGUAAAAUGAAUUUAAGGUGAGAAGUUAUGUACUUUUAGUAAAGAGUGACAUUUUUGCAGUUGUAAGUAUGAAAAAUUAUGUUUGACAGUGAAAUAUGUGAAUUUAGAAUUCUUUGCCUCAGAAAUGUAUUUUCCAACAUUCUAUGUAUUAUUCUUUGAGCAAUUGCUUGGCAGCAUUUGGAGAGCAAAAGACUGUAGUAAGAAUGAAAAAAGUUCCAGAUUUUCUCCAAAGACUUGUUCUUCAUUGCUUGUAAUUUAGAACUGAAUGAUGCAGAUUUGGGGAAACUAACUUUUGUUCGUAAUACUAUUCUGAUGUCUUUAAGAUGGUUUGAGAUUGGAUUAAACCACACAAAUACAGGUGGAGAUAAAAUUCUGGCAAGCAGUGAAUAACACCACUGUCAAUAUCCCUAAAGAAAACUCAGAGCCUGGGGCAGAGGAUGAACCUUAGCCUGGCAUGAAGGAAAGCAUUUCCUCUCUCUAGGCUCCUGGGCAAAGGGCUUGCCAUUGAGAAGAAAUAAAUUGAUCCCUGCUACACUGGGGCCAAAGACUAUAGUAAGGGUCAACACCAAAAUCAGAUUGGUUAUAUUCUUUGCAGCCAAAGAUGGAGAAGCUCUAUACAAUCAGCAAAAACAAGACCAGGAGCUGACUGUGGCUCAGAUCAUGAACUCCUUAUUGCCAAAAUCAGACUUAAAUUGAAGAAAGGUCCAUCUAGUCAAGGCUAUGGUUUUUCCAGUGGUCAUGUAUGGAUGGGAGAGUUGGACUGUGAAGAAAGCUGAGCGCUGAAGAAUUGAUGCUUUUGAACUGUGGUGUUGGAGAAGACUCUUGAGAAUCCGUUGGACUGCAAAAAGAUCCAACCAGUCCAUUCUGAAAGAGAUCAGCCCUGGGUGUUUUUUGGAAGGAACAAUGCUGAAGCUGAAACUCCAGUACUUUGGCCAACUCAUGCGAAGAGUUGACUCACUGGAAAAGACUCUGAUGCUGGGAGGGAUUGGGGGCAGGAGGAGAAGGGGACGACCGAGGAUGAGAUGGCUGGAUGGCAUCACUGACUCGAUGGACAUGAGUCUGAGUGAACUCCGGGAGUUGGUGAUGGACAGGGAGGCCUGGCAUGCUGCAAUUCAUGGGGUUGCAAAGAGUCGGACAUGACUGAGCGACUGAACUGAACUGAACUGAAUGAAGGUAUUCUAGGGAAAACCACUAAACCAUUCAGGUAUGACCUAAAUCAAAUCCAUUAUUAUUAUACAGUGGAAGUGAGAAAUAGAUUUAAGGGACCAGAUCUGAUAGAUAGAGUGCCUGAUGAACUAUGGACGGAGGCUCAUGACAUUGUACAAGAGACAGGGAUCAAUACCAUCCCCAUGGAAAAGAAAUGCAAAAAAAGCAAAAUGGCUGUCUGGGGAGGCCUUACAAAUAGCUGUGAAAAGAAGAGA
rnacentral:lncRNA from 1 species